ACUACAGCCUUGACCUCCUGGGCCCAAGUGAUCCUCCUCCUGCCCCAGCCUUCUGGGUAGCUAGGACUGCAGGUAUGUGACAACAGUGCCCAGCUCCAAGGACUUUCUUUAGAGUACCCAUGACUGUGUGUGUGUCACAGGGUUCCCCUGGAGUGGGGAGUGGUGUUGGGGCUCCAGGCUCCCCUCCUUGACUUUAAACUAGAGCUCUCCACUUUUGACUUGUGCAGUGCUUCACACAUAAGCUUUCAUUGAAGAAAAUGGUUCUACUUUCAUUUGAAAACCAUGGACCUGUGGGAAGACGUCUAACCUCCCAACACAGCCUUUAUGUUCUUCCCAAAUGUAUAUUCCUCUGACCUUUCAAACUUUGUCUUCUAUUAAUAAAUUAUUGCUCUAGACCACCCCCCGGCCUUUCCCCAACACCCCAACACAUUCCUGUCUCCAAACCUCUGCUUGGCCUUUUCCUUCUGUCUAGCAGGUCUUUCUUUCCAAAUUUGCCUAAUUUCCACCCUUCCUCCAAAGCCGAAUUCAAUCCCAUCUUCAGACAUCCUUCCCGGCUCCCCUCUUGGAAUUCUCUCUUCUCCUUAUGAUGCGUGUGCAUUUAUUACAGCACCCAGGGUUGGGAUGACACUUUCUAACCAGAUGGCAAGGUCUCAGAAGCAGGCCUUCUGUGUCCCCCUCCCAAGGCCACGUGUUUUACGUAGGACAGACGUGUGCUGACCUGCUCUGAAAGCAGUUUCCCAGAGAAGGCCAGGAGCCCUUAUAACCUGAGACUUAGACAAGUGCCUCUGCAGGGACUCACUCCGUAAUCUUCUGCAUUCUGCCUUCUCCCAAUAACCUUGAUGGCCUUGAUCCUAGAUCCUAUCUUGAGUGCUCUCCCUCUAUUGGGAGCUAUUUCCAAUACCGUCACUGAGCACACCCACUUGACUAAUACUGGAAUUCAGCAGUCUUCACGCAGAGCCAAGCCGUUCAGACAGGGAGGAGAGAAGCAGGGCCUGGGGCGGUCAGCAGGGCUGGACUCCACCUACCUUGGCCGUGCCUGGGUGAGGGCUUAGGUCCAGCCAGCCUGUCUGACCCAGAAAGCCCUGGGUUUCUGGGCUUGUCCUCCACACAAGUUCUUGCCCUUCAAAGAUUCCAGACUGACUGAGUUAUUGCUCAUCUAAAGUCAAUGCAGUGGGACAUCUCCCUAGGGCUCCCAUCUCCUGAGAACCAGAUUUAGAGGGGGCUUGGGAGGGGCCUGUGUCUUCCUCCUUGCCAAGAGGUAUUUGUCUGGCAGCGUUCAGAGAGGGUAAGAUGGGAGGAAGCUGGUUUGAGGGGUGCUGGGAAUUGACAGCACAUCUCAGCAGGAGGUGUCAAACAGACGUUUUGGGGGUUCGGGAGUGGCACAUGUUAAAGCCACUUCCCACACAUAGGAGUUCUAGCUCCCCCAAUCUCCCCCAAACUAUGGAGAGAGGCAAUAAAGCAAGGUUGGCUCCGGCCUCAUGGGAAAUUGAGGAAUCAGGAAUCCUGAAUACCAUGGGGCAUGUGCUGCUGAAGGAAGCCCUCCAAUCCCAUGCCCAGAGGGAGCACAGGGCAGACCAUUUGCGUGAGCGGUGUGCCCAUUCUUUGACAUGAAAAGCUUCUGAAACCUGAGGCCCUCGUGCACACACACACUCUUGACAGCAACAUGCACCUUGCAUAGACACAGGUGCCAAGAUGGGCCACACCAGCAUGUGGCCUAGACAGGCACCCAGCAGACAACAGCCUGGUCAUGGGCCAGGGUCACAUGCCCCAAAGAAGGCAAGAAACACAAUGACCAGAAUGAGGCUGAGAGUGGAGCUAGAAUCUAGUUAGAAAAUUGCUGUGAGCACUGGGGAGGAGCAGGGGCUGUAACAGUGUCCAGUAUUGAGGGGCUUAGCGGGAGGUGGGGGGUGUAAGGAGAUGCAAAGUGCUUGGCCUGUGGUAGGGCCCAAAAUGUUACUCUUCUCCUUCCCUCCACUGUAGGAUGCAGGCUCCUCCCUGGAUAAUUAAGUCUCCAAGCCCCACCUGACUUCUCCAAAUAAUGAGGCUGCCCCACUGCCCAGCACUGGCCAGCAUGGAGCUCAGCUCACAUUUGCUAAUGGGGAUUCUAUGUCAGCAGGUGCAUUGGGCAGGGGUGCCUAGCAUGCCUCAGGGAUCUAUCCUGGGUCCCCUCCUCUUCAGCACUCUCAGCCCAGCUUUGGGGGCACUCUCAGGCAACACAGAGUUCUUUACAAGCUGGAACCAUGGGUCCAACCUAACCAGAUGAAAUUGCAUGGGGAAAAAUAUACAAGCCAGGACUCAGGUUUAAAACAUUACCCGUCCAGGGAUAAGUUAGGGAGGACCAGGUAACAACAGUUCGUCAGAAAGACUUGGGAGUUUGUCACCUACAAGCUUAAGAUGAGUCACGGGAGUGACGUGGCCAGCCGAAGGGCCACUGUUACCUUCAUCUAGGUGAACAGAGGCUUGUAAGUGGGCAGCUGACACCAGCCCAGUUUGGUUGGUCUGGACAAGGAUGACCACUUUGUUGAGGGGCUUGGAAAACCCUGCCCAUAGAGGAAAUUUUCAGGUACUAGGGGUGUAGUGUCUGGGACAGAGAAGACUUGAGUCCCUGAGGGCUGAUGUCAAGGCUUGGAAAGAAGCUCCAUGGGCAAGAGGGCAGCAAUGGACUCUUGCUAUGAGCUUCCAGGGGGCAGUCUAGAAGGACUGGGCAGAAGCUGAGGGGGUAGCGUUUCAGUCAAAGGAGGGAGAACUUUCUAACAGACAGAACUGUCCAGCAAUGAGAUGGUACCUUUAGGAAGGAGAGGAACGUUUGAGCCCAAGUGUGUGGGAAGAGAUUCCUGCCCUGGGAAGAAGGAGGCUGGACUCUGCCUUCAAAUGCCCCUCGCUCCCACUCCCAGAUUCUCUGUCUGUCCUGCCCUGCCUGGGGCUGAGCUGGUUCUCAGCAUGAUCUCCGUCUAGCUCAGUAGCCGGAGACUUGGUAUUUCUAGUCCAUUCUGCCGCCAGUGAAUGCCCCAGCCUGACCUUGCUUCUCAGCCCCAAGGAGGGGGCAGGGCUGCCUGCAUGCGUGGCUUACUCAGGCCGAACCCCAGGACUCCAAGGCCUGAGUCAUGCUGGCCGCGGGAGGUGUCUGCACACAGACGCCAGUCAUUGCUCUGGCCAGGGGGGAGCACACAAGCUCCAUAUCCUUUUAUGUCCCUGUGUGGAUAUUCCCAGCCGAGAGUCAGGAGCUGUGAGUGGGGCUGGCCAGGGUAUCUGUCAUUCCAGCCUUCAGUGGCUUAAGGGGUGCAGGGGUCUGGAGAAAUGAGACUGGGCUGUGGGUGAGGGUGUAGGUCUGUACCCCUUACCCCGUCUUUCUUCAGGAGGCCCACAGCCCCUAAAGACCAUCUGAGACUCUGGCUUGCCAUUUGUCACAUCUCCCUUGCCGCACCCACAGCCUUCAGGGACAAGUCUGUGAGACUCCUCUUUCAUCUCUACCCACGGGUUUUGGCCAUCAGAAGCAGGUCCACAUAUGCGGCCACUGUUUCUGCCGUUCUGCUAGAGGAGUGGGAUCAGCUGCAGCCUGCGUCCCUGGGGAAAGCAAGAGUUCCUGACGGAGACUCUGCAGUUUGUAUGCCCGAACCCAUAUUCACUUUGACCCUGACCCAUCCUCAGCUUGGCCUUGGGGCUCUCCCUCAUCUCUGACCCUUCCAACUACACCCCAGUUGGGCCUCCUCUGCUGGGGUUCCUCUGGGACUUUUGACCUGGUUGCGGGGGGCGGGUGGAGAACCUCCCUUUCCCCUAGAUGAAGCCCAGAAACAGCCUGAGCUGGUUUUGGUUCCUCUUCUUCACACCUACAUGAUGAAAUGAGAUGGUCCACGUGGACGGGCUGUGUCGCCUGUGAUGCUCUGGUCACACUGAAGUCAUGAUGUGUGGUAAUUGUCUAUGGAGAGGGGUCAUAGAAAGCCAGGCUCUGGGGCUUGGACCAGCUUCACCGUGCGCUAUAGCAGCUUCCCCUCCCGGCUGGUGUGCAGGGUGGGGCUGGAGGUAUAGUUUAUGACCAGCCUCUGUGGAUGCCCCAGCCCAGGCCCUGGUUCUGUUGGAAGGAGGCUCUCAGAUCGAGGGUCGCAUAGACAGGGUCUGCUCUAGGUCUGCCAGGAUCGGCCUUUCCAGCAGGAUGGGUCCCUGGCAUACCCACCCCAGGACCUGGAAUCUUCUUGUUCCUGGUUCUUAGCCAUCUAAUUUUUGUUCUAUUUGGACCUUUCAUUGAUGAGAAUUAGCAGCCCGUCCCCACCCCCCAGCCCCUGCCUUAAAGAAGUGGACAUUUUAAGCGGCUCGAGUUGGUCUUCGAGUUCAAGAGGACAAAUGGAAUACAGAAUGACGAACCUGGCUUAUGGCCAGGAGCCCCCAGUUCCUUUUUUUUUUUUUUUUCUGGCAAGUUUGUGUAACCAAAAGGCCCCAGUUCUUAGCUCAACAUGAGAGUGUAAAACCCAGCGUUCAAGGAAUGUGAACCAAUACCUGGUAUGGGCAAGGACAAGGAGGAGAAUAGGAAGCAGAAGGAAUAGAAGGACCCAGACUAACUCCAGAGGAAAAUGGUGAGCUAAGACCUUUACUGCAUCACAAAUCAAUAAAUACUUAUUGAGAAGCUGCUA
rnacentral:lncRNA from 1 species